rnacentral:rRNA from 1 species
CGGGUAGCCGGCCUGAGAGGGCGACCGGCCACACUGGGACUGAGACACGGUCCCAGACUCCUACGGGAGGCAGCAGUGGGGAAUAUUGCACAAUGGGCGGAAGCCUGAUGCAGCGACGCCGCGUGAGGGAUGACGGCCUUCGGGUUGUAAACCUCUUUCAGCAGGGACGAAGCGCAAGUGACGGUACCUGCAGAAGAAGCGCCGGCCAACUACGUGCCAGCAGCCGCGGUAAGACGUAGGGCGCGAGCGUUGUCCGGAUUUAUUGGGCGUAAAGAGCUCGUAGGCGGCUUGUCGCGUCGACUGUGAAAACCCGUGGCUCAACUGCGGGCCUGCAGUCGAUACGGGCAGGCUAGAGUUCGGUAGGGGAGACUGGAAUUCCUGGUGUAGCGGUGAAAUGCGCAGAUAUCAGGAGGAACACCGGUGGCGAAGGCGGGUCUCUGGGCCGAUACUGACGCUGAGGAGCGAAAGCGUGGGGAGCGAACAGGAUUAGAUACCCUGGUAGUCCACGCUGUAAACGUUGGGCGCUAGGUGUGGGGGGCCUCUCCGGUUCUCUGUGCCGCAGCUAACGCAUUAAGCGCCCCGCCUGGGGAGUACGG